rnacentral:misc_RNA from 1 species
GAGGAAGAACGCAGCGAAAUGCGAUAAGUAAUGUGAAUUGCAGAAUUCAGUGAAUCAUCGAAUCUUUGAACGCACAUUGCGCCCUCUGGUAUUCCGGGGGGCAUGCCUGUUCGAGCGUCAUUACAACCCUCAAGCUCUGCUUGGUAUUGGGCUCUGCCGGUCCUGGCAGGCCUCAAAGUCAGUGGCGGUGCCAUCCGGCUCCAAGCGUAGUAAUUCUCCUCGCUUCGGAGGCCGCGGUGCGUGCUAGCCAGCAACCCCCAAUUUUUUUCAGGUUGACCUCGGAUCAGGUAGGGAUACCCGCUGAACUUAAGCAUAUCAAUAAGCGGAGGA